rnacentral:rRNA from 1 species
CCUACGGGUGGCAGCAGUGAGGAAUAUUGGUCAAUGGACGGAAGUCUGAACCAGCCAUGCCGCGUGCAGGAAGACGGCUCUAUGAGUUGUAAACUGCUUUUGUACAAGGGUAAACCUGAAUACGUGUAUUCAGCUGAAAGUACUGUACGAAUAAGCAUCGGCUAACUCCGUGCCAGCAGCCGCGGUAAUACGGAGGAUCCAAGCGUUAUCCGGAUUUAUUGGGUUUAAAGGGUGCGUAGGCGGAUUGAUAAGUUAGAGGUGAAAUGUCCUGGCUUAACUCGGGAACUGCCUCUAAUACUGUUGGUCUAGAGAGUAGAUGAGGUAGGCGGAAUGUAUGGUGUAGCGGUGAAAUGCUUAGAGAUCAUACAGAACACCGAUUGCGAAGGCAGCUUACCAAUCUAUAUCUGACGUUGAGGCACGAAAGCGUGGGGAGCAAACAGGAUUAGAUACCCUUGUAGUC